UACAGGGGGGGCAAGCGUUGUUCGGAAUUACUGGGCGUAAAGCGCACGUAGGCGGAUUGUUAAGUCAGGGGUGAAAUCCUGGAGCUCAACUCCAGAACUGCCUUUGAUACUGGCAAUCUAGAGUCCGGAAGAGGUGAGUGGAACUCCUAGUGUAGAGGUGGAAUUCGUAGAUAUUAGGAAGAACACCAGUGGCGAAGGCGGCUCACUGGUCCGGUACUGACGCUGAGGUGCGAAAGCGUGGGGAGCAAACAGG
rnacentral:rRNA from 1 species